rnacentral:rRNA from 1 species
CCUACGGGUGGCAGCAGUGAGGAAUAUUGGUCAAUGGACGAGAGUCUGAACCAGCCAAGUAGCGUGCAGGAUGACUGCCCUAUGGGUUGUAAACUUCUUUUAUAUGGGAAUAAAAUGUUACACGUGUGGGAUUUUGUAUGUACCAUAUGAAUAAGGAUCGGCUAACUCCGUGCCAGCAGCCGCGGUAAUACGGAGGAUCCGAGCGUUAUCCGGAUUUAUUGGGUUUAAAGGGAGCGUAGGUGGAUUGUUAAGUCAGUUGUGAAAGUUUGCGGCUCAACCGUAAAAUUGCAGUUGAAACUGGUAGUCUAGAGUACAGUAGAGGUGGGCGGAAUGCGUGGUGUAGCGGUGAAAUGCUUAGAGAUCACGAAGAACUCCGAUUGCGAAGGCAGCUCACCAGACUGCAACUGACACUGAGGCUCGAAAGUGUGGGUAUCAAACAGGAUUAGAUACCCGAGUAGUC